CUUUUCUUUGCACUUGUUCAGCUUAAUCAUCUAUUUAAUGCUGUAUAGCGACUGCUGGACAUUGGAGUGUGAUGAUCAUGGUGACAAUGUUGAUGACGAUGAUGAUGUUGACGAUGAUGAUCAUGAUGACGAUGAUGGUGACGAUGAUGAUGAUGACGAUAGAUGAUGACUAUGACCAUGAUGAUGACAAUGUUGAUGAUGUGAUUAUUAUGAUGAUGACGAUGAAGAUGAUGAUGACGGCGACGAUGAUGAUAACGAUGGUGAUGAUGAUGACAAUGACGAUGAUAUGACGGCGAUGAUGGUGACGAUGAUGAUGAUGAUGAUUACGAUGAUGGUGACGACGAAGAUGACGAUGAUGCGUGUAUGAAGCAGUGCUGCACGGAGCAGAUGACGGAAUGUCUGGACUGGAUUAUGGCUGAAUGUAAGAAUUUGUAUUCAAAAUUUCUGCAGAGUACGGCGAUCCUUCAUACAGAAGUCAGAUGGUUGAGUAGGAGUAAGGUACGUCACUGUUUUAUUUCCUUGGUGAGUGAAAUUAAGGCUUUAAUGGAACCAAGGGGGGGAGGACACUAACCUGUUGUCUGAUGGCUGCUUGAUCUUGCAUUCUUGGCUGAUGUGACAGAGAAACUGAAUCAGCUCAAUCUUCAGUUACAAGGUAAAGACAAAACCAUAUGUGAUAUGAUCAGUGCUGUGAAGGUAUUUAAAGCAAAACUGUCAUCUUACCUUCAGCAAUUGAAAAACAAAAGAUUGCAACACUUCCCCUCAUUGGUAAAGAUAGAAAGAAAGCCAUGCAAAUGCAACCAAAGUUUUGGAUGUACUCGAGUAUUGUGACCUCCUGUCCAGGCUUGGGCAGGAAUCUGAGGAAAGGUUCAGUGAUUUUGAAAAUCUUGAGAUAUGUGUGGCAUUUGUUGCCAAGUCUUUCAUGGAGAUAGACAUGGAUCACAUUUCAAAGCAGAUGGCUGAACUGUUCAAUGUCAAUGCUGUAGAGAUGGACUUGGAGGUUAUUAAUCUCCAAAAUCAUAUCCAGCUGAAAUCUCAGCAACAUUCACAACAUUUCUGGAGACUUGUAGACCCAGGAAACUACAAGAACAUUCACCAAGCUGCCCUCAAAGCAUCUGCUUUAUUUGGAUCUACAGACCUUUGUGAAGCAGCGUGUUCUGAUAUGAACGUGAUCGAAUCUUAAUUCAGAACAAGACUGACAGAUGAACAUUUAAAUAAUUGCAUAAGAGUGAACCUAAGUGCAUACACACCAGCAUAUACCUCCCUUGUGGAAUCAAUGCAAUGUCAGUCAGCUUAUUAACUGUAAAUAAGUGUGAAUGCACUUCAUGUCAUAUUGGAUAUUCUGUGUUUACAAACAGCAAAGAAGC